rnacentral:ncRNA from 1 species
CGGGAGGCUUGAAUUAUUCGGGCGUGCGUAGAAGCAAUUUUACGUAAGAUCAUCUGCCAAAUUCGGUGAAACCCUCACGUCAGAAAUGACGAAAGGCAAUGCCGAGCCAAGCCUGCUUCGGCAGGAAGGUGUAGAGACUAGACGGUAGACAUCCCUAUGGGAUGAAGGCAUAGUCCAGACCACAAAUUCGUCCUCGGACGAAGCAACGAAAGUUGUAG